CAUGAUACUCCUGUUCAUGGCUGAUGUAGUUGCUAAAAGAUCUGUGUCUUCUGUAAAAAAUUUUGCUCUGAAUGGCCAAUGACUGGUUACAUAAUCAACACAGAGAAUGACCUGGGCCCAGAAUUGAAUAGAAGAAAAGAAGAACUAUUCUUAAAAACACUGCAUUAUUCAACUACAGCAACUCAGAAGAUUCAAACCAAUAUGGACCUCAGAAGAAAUAAGACACCUCUACUGCAAUGUAGCAUCUCCUCACAACUAUAUAAAAGCCUUCUCAACACACCAUCUUGAACCUUCCUGCAAAAUCAUUUGAGAACCGAGACUUUUUUUUGCUUAUUUGUUAUGUACU